UCUCUUUUUGUAUUUCCCUAUCUUCCCUUUGUCUUAACUUUUAAAGGGCCAGACUCUCUGUACGUCAUCAGUCGAUGACCCAAUAGAAGCACUAGAGGUGUGGUUAUCUUCCAGAUCGCAAAUUAGUUAUUUGGUCUGUAGAGGGCAGUCUUGUCCCACUAAACAUACCUAUCCAGGAAAGAGUUAACUUUUCCUGGUGGCUAUUUUGACGUCAUUUUGCGU